GACGAACGCUGGCGGCGUGCUUAACACAUGCAAGUGGAGCGACGAACCAGGCUUCGGCCUGGGGCAGAGCCGCGAACGGGUGAGUAACACGUGGGUAACGUGCCCCGAUGACUGGGACAACCCGGGGAAACCCGGGCUAAUACCGGAUGUGCCCUCCUCACACCAGUGAGGCGGGGAAAGGAAGCUUCGGCCUCCGCAUCGGGAUCGGCCCGCGGCCCAUUAGCUUGUUGGUGAGGUAAAGGCUCACCAAGGCUGCGAUGGGUAGCUGGUCUGAGAGGACGAUCAGCCACACUGGGACUGAGACACGGCCCAGACUCCUACGGGAGGCAGCAGUGGGGAAUCUUGCGCAAUGCACGACAGUGUGACGCAGCAACGCCGCGUGGGGGAAGAAGGCCUUCGGGUUGUAAACCCCUUUCAGGAGGGACGAAGCCCGGGCCGUUAAUAGCGGUCCCGGGUGACGGUACCUCCACAAGAAGCCCCGGCUAACUACGUGCCAGCAGCCGCAGUAACAC
rnacentral:rRNA from 1 species